rnacentral:rRNA from 1 species
GAUCCUGGCUCAGGAUGAACGCUAGCGGCAGGCUUAACACAUGCAAGUCGAGGGGUAGAGGAAGCUUGCUUCCUUGAGACCGGCGCACGGGUGCGUAACGCGUAUGCAAUCUACCUUAUACAGGGGAUAGCCCAGAGAAAUUUGGAUUAAUACCCCAUAGUAUAAUUGAAUGGCAUCAUUUAAUUAUUAAAGUUCCAACGGUAUAAGAUGAGCAUGCGUCCCAUUAGCUAGUUGGUGUGGUAACGGCACACCAAGGCGACGAUGGUAGGGGUCCUGAGAGGAGAUCCCCCACACUGGUACUGAGACACGGACCAGACUCCUACGGGAGGCAGCAGUGAGGAAUAUUGGUCAAUGGGCGCAAGCCUGAACCAGCCAUGCCGCGUGCAGGAUGACGGUCCUAUGGAUUGUAAACUGCUUUUGUACAGGAAGAAACACUCCCUCGUGAGGGAGCUUGACGGUACUGUAAGGAUAAGGAUCGGCUAACUCCGUG